CGGGAGGCCGCAGUGGGGAAUCUUGCACAAUGGAGGAAACUCUGAUGCAGCGAUGCCGCGUGAGUGAAGAAGGCCUUUGGGUUGUAAAGCUCUUUCCUCGGGAAGAAAAUGACUGUACCCGAGAAGAAAGGUCCGGCUAAAUUCCCGCCACCACCCGCGGGAAU
rnacentral:rRNA from 1 species